GCGGAAGGAUCAUUAUCGAAUAAACUUGACGCAGUUGUAGCUGGCUCUUAGGAGCAUGUGCACGCUCGUCACUUUUAUCUUUCCACCUGUGCACCCACUGUAGGCCUGGAUACCUCUCGCUUGGUAUCAAGCGGAUGCGAGGAUUGCUGCUGCUCUUUCUGAAAGGGAAGGCCGGCUCUCCUUGAAUUUCCAGGUCUAUGUUUUUCUUACACACCCCAAUAGAAUGUUACCGAAUGUCAUCAAUGGGCUUUAUGCCUAUAAAACACAAUACAACUUUCAGCAACGGAUCUCUUGGCUCUCGCAUCGAUGAAGAACGCAGCGAAAUGCGAUAAGUAAUGUGAAUUGCAGAAUUCAGUGAAUCAUCGAAUCUUUGAACGCACCUUGCGCUCCUUGGUAUUCCGAGGAGCAUGCCUGUUUGAGUGUCAUUAAAUUCUCAACCUCUUCAGCUUUUGUUGAUGAGGCUUGGAUGUGGGGGUUUYGCAGGUCUGCCUUAAUUGUGCGGUCUGCUCCCCUGAAAUGUAUUAGCGGGUUGGCUUCCRUCUAUUGGUGUGAUAAUUAUCUACGCCGUGGAUGGGUUUGGCUUUCAGACCAGCUUCUAACCGUCCUUUGGACAAUUCUUGACAUUUUUGACCUCAAA
rnacentral:rRNA from 1 species